CGUUCUUACACCACACAACCACCGAAGGACAGACCUCUUAGCUCCAUUCUGUGUAUGUACAUCAUUGGUUCAUUGUCUCCACCAUCUGUCUCGGCAGUGUGCUUCCCACAGACAAGGGCCUCUUUUUCUCACAGGUCCCCCAGCAAGAGAAAUGCAGGUCCAGCAUCGGUACGGACGCGCAUUCCCUCAGAUACAGCUUCCUCUGCACAUCACCAAAAAGAACCAGAAGUCUGCGGUUCAGGAAGCACAGCCAGGAAUAACCGGAGCGUCCUUGCAGUCAGGUGUGUCUGUGUGCGUGCAGUACCCAGGGAGGCCAGAAGAAGGUUCCAGAUGCCCUUGGAGAUGGCGUGCUGGGAACCGGAAGAGGAUCCUUUGCAAGACAAGUACAGUCUUUCACCUGCAGAGCCACCUUCCCAGCCCUUGCUUUGUUUAUCAGUCGGUGUUCUGGGCCGACUGUCCUGGGCCCUGUUGGUUCCCCAGGCUCCUAAGUAGUUGGUACUGCAGGUGCAGGGCCUGCCUGUGACCCC
ensembl:lncRNA